rnacentral:lncRNA from 1 species
AAGAACUUCAACCAUUAUAACAAGAAAGGAGAAAAAUCUCUUCCCACCAUUUCCACCUUCUUCCUUUGAUCCAAGCCACAUUUCAACUUUAAACCUUAUUUCCUUCACUAAAAUCAACUUGAAAUCCUUUCUUAAGCUUGUUUCCAUCUUCAUCCUCCCAUCAAGGCUUAGGGUUUUACUUAAGUUAGUGAGAGGAAAUUCAAGUAAAGGUAAGAAUGAGUUAGUUUCAUCAUCUCAUCACAUAUAUUUAUAAAAUUCAUGUCUAUUAAGUUGUUGAACAUUUAUUAUGAUAUUUAUUAUGUGUAUUCAAUGUCUUAAUAAAGAGAAAAGGCUUGGAAAAGGAACUCCAAGUAAAGGAAAGGAAGAAGUGGUUGAGUAGAAAAAAGAACUAUCUCCUAUUUUUGGUGAUUUUGAAGGUAAGUUCUCAUGAAAAUUCUCUUACUUAAUAAUGAAAAAUCACUAAUGAGUUAAUUAAUGUAAUAAAUGAUGAAGAGAAAGUGUGCAAUAAGUUUUCUAUUAUUAUAAUAUAUAUAUAUGUAUAUGAAUUGAGAUAAAUAAGUAGAGGUGAUAAUUUGUUCACCAAAAUGGUAGAACCUUAUUAAAUGAGGAAAAUGGAGAAAUAAUGGUGAUAACUGAAAUAACGACUUGUAUAUGACUUAUGUGAAAGAAAGUUGAAGUUAUGAUCACGCUAUUGUGUCUAAAUUACUAUAAUUGUGAAAGGUUGAUCUGCCGUAAUUCAGUGUAGCCAAUCAAACUAAUUUCCACACUUUAAGAGCUUGAAAGCCAGUAUUUUCAUUAGGUAUUAAUUAUAUUUUUGUAAGUUUUUGUUAAGUUAAUAAAAUGUGCAAAUUGAGUCUUUUAUUGACGUUAAAGGUCGAAUGAGGCCUAAGGGUGAUCUAAUGAACUUUGUAAGUGUACAGGAGACCAUUAGAAAGCGUAAUAAAUCGAUUUUGGUUGCUAUGUCGCAACACAGAAUGUUUGAUGUCACAACAUAAUAAGCAUAAUGGAGAAAUCACGAAACUACCUUUUGUGUCAUGACGUACCCUGAAGAUUUCCCAAGAGGAGUACAUUGACUGCUAUGUCACGACACAAGACCUAGUGUGUCGAGACAUUGACUCUAGACGGGAAUUAAACACGAGACAGGGGAGUUUUGGUCCGCACAAUCAAACUUAAAGCUUAGGAACAUCAGCUGACCUAGGGUUAAGGACGACGAGCACCUAAAAUCUAUAAAUAGGCUCAUUUGUCACAUGUUAAAGACACAAUUCACUUAGCCUAGAUUUAGUCUUUUAAUUUCAGAUUACUUUUCUCUUUUCUUAGGUUAGAUUUAUUUUCAUUCUUUCUUGUUCUAUUUUGAGAGAUCUGUAUUGUGGAGACAAUCAAACCUUGUGGAUCCGCGAUCAAUCUUAAUACAACUCUAUGUUAUCGAUUUAUUUGGCAUGUUUUCUCUUUAUAUCGAUUCUAUAUUGUCUAUGGAAACCAUGAGGAACUAAUCCUUCUUUGGGGGAUUAACAAGUUAAGGUAUAAUUUGUUAACUGUUUUGUAGGGAUACUCAAAGGAUCAACUGUUUGCGAAAGGAAAAAUGUAAAACAAGCCUAGUCUUGACAACCCUGGAAAGUCAUCAAGGUGGGAAUUAACCCAAAAUUGGUAUUUCCCAUAUGUGAACACGUUCACCCCAAACUGAUUUGGACUAUGAGGUCGAAAGAUAAAUAGUCCUUGUGGACUCGUUAUUCGAGUGGAAGAUCAGAAUAUCCUGCUGGGAUAACGACUAGUUGAUUGACAAGAAAACCUGAAGCGACAGUUGAUAGGAAUUAUAGAAGCGAGCUAAUCACCUAUAAUUAGAUUUGAUUUAUUCUAUCUUUUGAUCUCUUGAAUUUUAUUUCUUUAUGUUAUUUUCUUUUAUUAUUUUAAAAACCUUAAAAAGUCCAUUUUAUUUUAAA